AGUUGCCUGAGGACAGCAGUGCAGUUGACAUGGAUAUUCUCUUUCCUCUGGACAGUGUUAUUGGUACAGAGCUGUGCCCCAGCCCCAUUCCCCAGAUCAUCCAUUUCGUCCUCUUUGUUGUGUUCAGCCUGGUGAUCCUGAUUAUCUUACGCCUCUACAUUCCCAGGGAGCCGUCCUCAGUGCCUCCCAGAGAGGAGGACAGCGAGAAUGAUCAAGCUGAAGUGGGGGAAUGGCUCAGGAUCGGAAAUAAAUAUAUCACUUUGAAAGAUUACAGAAUUCUCUUGAAAGAACUGGAGAACCUUGAGAUCUACACUUUCCUGUCGAAAAAGUGCCUGAAGAAGCUCUCUAGGGAGGGCAGCUCCCAUCACCUUCCACGCCAAGUCCGCCCAGGGCCAGUGUACAAACCAGCACCUGCUAGGAACCACCGGCCACGUGGGGGGCGUGGGAAAGCUUCUCCCACCAGCUUCCAUGUGUCCCCACGGGCUCCCCUGGCUCCUCUGGCCUCCAUGCCGUCAUCAGUCCCGAAGACCUCCGUAGAGUCCUUGGGGUCUCCAUCAUCCCUGAGCUCCUCCAAGCCACGAGAGCCUCUGUGUCCCCUGAAGCACCCUUCACACCAGCCACCUGCGAGCACCCUAUCACCAAACCCGACCAGCUCCACAGAAUCCUUGGGGUAUCUGUCAUCCCUGAGCUCCUCCCAGCCACCAGAGCCUUUGCGUCCCCUGAAGCACCCUUCACACAAGCCACGUGGGCGUUCCCUUCCCCGACGACGGAAUCCUGGCUGGGUGUCCUGGUCCGACUCCAUGCAGGCUGAUUCCGAAACUGACACCAUAAUAUGCCCAAUGUGCAAGGCCCCUGAGCGCUCCUGUCCACACACCUGGUGGGUGCCUUCUAGCCCUCGAGUGAUCCGAGGCGUUGGUCGCUGCAGUGAUCCCAACCUGGGCCUCUCCUGGAGGCAGGAGGCUGCUAGAGCCUGGUGCCACUGCACCUCCUCACAGUUCCCAUUCAAGCACCCUAAUCUUCCCACCCACCUACCAAAGGCUUCCUUCUAGGGAGACCCCACAUGCAGGCAGGUGGAGGCAGGGGUCCCGCUUUCCUCAGCCUGGAUGUGCCAACGCUGCUGGACGCAUAAGACACCAAAAUCCCAGACACUCCCAUGGACACCGAAUAUCCGACAUCCACGAACAAUUGGGAAUCUCCUGAGGACAACUUGGAGAUGGAGUCUCACUCUGUUGCUCAGGCUGGAGUGCAGUGGCACCAUCUUGGCUCACCACAACCUCCGCCUCCCGGAUUCAAGCCAUUCUCCUGCCUCAGCCUCCCGAGUAACUGGGAUUACAGGCUUGUGCCACCGCACCCAGCUAAUUUUUGUAAUUUUAGUCGAGAGAAGGUGUCACCAUGUUAGCCAGGCUUGUCUUGAACUCCUGACCUUGAGAUAUCUGCCCACCUCAGCCUCUCAAAGUGCUGGGAUUAUAGGCUUGAGCCACCACGGCUGGAUGAAUCAUAAAUUGUAAACCUGAAUAAAAUGCUGCAACCUCCAAUGAGAGGAAAA
rnacentral:lncRNA from 1 species